GACUUUUUAAAGGCCCACUUUAAUCAUCUUAACAAACAAUUAUUCCCCUUAAUUGUCACUUUUACCAUGUUAAUAACCAAUUAGUCACAUAAGAAUCGCAUUAUCAAUACAAAGAGUCAAUCAUUCACCUUAAGUUCUUCUUAGGAAUCGAUUAUUCACAAUAAGGACCACUUUUAUCAUCUUUACAAACAAUUAUUCACCUUAAUUAUCACCUUUACCAUGUUAAUAUCCAUAUAACUUACCUUAAGAUCUUGUUAGGAGUCAAUUAUUCACCAUAAGGACCACUUUAAUUGUGUUAAUAAUCAAUUAGUCACAUUACUAAAGACUUCAUCAAUUCUAAGAGUCAAUAAUCACUUUAGAUGUGCUAACGUAUGGGUUAAACUGAGAGUUCUCUCACCUCGAUUUCUUAAAGAUUGUGACGUUUUGAAAACUAAUAGGGAUCAGGACCGAAAAAAGUAUGAUUACAUGUUCUUAUCUACUCUCACAUCGCAUUAGUAAAUAUGUGUAUUCUUCGCAUUGACCUUCCUACGGCUCCAGUGGCUCCCCUUCCUCCCGAUCUCUUCGUUUCCUUCUAUUUUGUUCGAGAUGGUGAAAGGUCGCGAUAUCCGGAGCCGUCGCAGAUGUUUAAGGUCUAUUCCCUCCACCGCUGAUGUUCUAUAUCCAACAAGGAACUGAAUACUUCAAUUGAAAAAUCAAAUGACGUUAGCAAGAUUACCUACAAGGUUCUACUCUGCCCUACGGGCUAAUAUGGAUUACAUGAAACUCCCUCGCUCUUUCUAUCGUGCUUGGAAGGAACAGCUAAGGGAGCGCAUCACCCUCGUCGACAGAUAUCAACAGAAGUUUGAAGUUUCACUAAUAGUGCAGGGUAAUGAAGCCUAUUUGGCAAAUGGAAUCUUGGAAAUACGCAACAUCUAUUCAUUAGCAAACGGGGCAGUUGUUAGAUUCAAAUAUGUAGGAUUUGAUCACUUCAACAUUUCAAUACCUAUUGCUGCAAUUUCUGAUACACCGUUGCCAACGAAAAUAGAGUAUUUGCCACCUUUAUGUCGUUGAUUGUAUAGUUAAGGACCCCAUUUUCUGAGGGUUUUAUGGUUAUUGGAACUACCUUAUUUAUCUAACCUGAUAUUUUACCCUUGUUCUGUUAGGGCUGAGUUAUCUCGUUAGGGUUGGUUAUUUUGUACACAACUGACUUAUUAUUGUACUUUUGUGAGGGUUGGUUA